GCAAGUCGAACGGUAACAGGCCGCAAGGUGCUGACGAGUGGCGAACGGGUGAGUAAUGCAUCGGAACGUGCCCAGUCGUGGGGGAUAACGCAGCGAAAGCUGUGCUAAUACCGCAUACGAUCUAUGGAUGAAAGCGGGGGACCGUAAGGCCUCGCGCGAUUGGAGCGGCCGAUGUCAGAUUAGGUAGUUGGUGGGGUAAAGGCCCACCAAGCCAACGAUCUGUAGCUGGUCUGAGAGGACGACCAACCACACUGGAACUGAGACACGGUCCAGACUCCUACGGGAGGCAGCAGUGGGGAAUUUUGGACAAUGGGCGCAAGCCUGAUCCAGCAAUGCCGCGUGCAGGAAGAAGGCCUUCGGGUUGUAAACUGCUUUUGUACGGAACGAAACGGUCUGGGUUAAUACCUCGGGCUAAUGACGGUACCGUAAGAAUAAGCACCGGCUAACUACGUGCCAGCAGCCGCGGUAAUACGUAGGGUGCAAG
rnacentral:rRNA from 1 species